rnacentral:rRNA from 1 species
UACAGAGGUCCCAAGCGUUGUUCGGAUUCAUUGGGCGUAAAGGGUGCGUAGGUGGCGUCGUAAGUCGGGUGUGAAAUCUCGGGGCUUAACUCCGAAACUGCAUUCGAUACUGCGGUGCUUGAGGACUGGAGAGGAGACUGGAAUUUACGGUGUAGCAGUGAAAUGCGUAGAGAUCGUAAGGAAGACCAGUGGCGAAGGCGGGUCUCUGGACAGUUCCUGACACUGAGGCACGAAGGCCAGGGGAGCAAACGGGG